UUGAUCAUGGCUCAGAUUGAACGCUGGCGGCAGGCCUAACACAUGCAAGUCGAGCGGUAACAGGGGAAGCUUGCUUCUCGCUGACGAGCGGCGGACGGGUGAGUAAUGUAUGGGGAUCUGCCCGAUAGAGGGGGAUAACCACUGGAAACGGUGGCUAAUACCGCAUAAUCUCUUAGGAGCAAAGCAGGGGAACUUCGGUCCUUGCGCUAUCGGAUGAACCCAUAUGGGAUUAGCUAGUAGGUGGGGUAAUGGCUCACCUAGGCGACGAUCCCUAGCUGGUCUGAGAGGAUGAUCAGCCACACUGGGACUGAGACACGGCCCAGACUCCUACGGGAGGCAGCAGUGGGGAAUAUUGCACAAUGGGCGCAAGCCUGAUGCAGCCAUGCCGCGUGUAUGAAGAAGGCCUUAGGGUUGUAAAGUACUUUCAGUCGGGAGGAAGGCGUUGAUGCUAAUAUCAUCAACGAUUGACGUUACCGACAGAAGAAGCACCGGCUAACUCUGUGCCAGCAGCCGCGGUAAUACAGAGGGUGCGAGCGUUAAUCGGAUUUACUGGGCGUAAAGCGUGCGUAGGCGGCUAAUUGAGUCGGAUGUGAAAUCCCCGAGCUUAACUUGGGAAUUGCAUUCGAUACUGGUUAGCUAGAGUGUGGGAGAGGAUGGUAGAAUUCC
rnacentral:rRNA from 1 species